CCGAUCUUAACUCAAUUGGUAGAGCAGAGGACCGUAGUUAUCCUUAGGUCGUUAGUUUGAAUCCAACAGGUCUAA
rnacentral:tRNA from 1 species